rnacentral:tRNA from 1 species
GGGGAUGUGGCGCAGUCUGGUAGCGCACCUCGUUCGCAUCGAGGGGGUCAGGGGUUCGAGUCCCCUCAUCUCCA